ACUCCUACGGGAGGCAGCAGUGAGGAAUAUUGCGCAAUGGGGGAAACCCUGACGCAGCAACGCCGCGUGGGUGAAGAAGGCCUUCGGGUCGUAAAGCCCUUUCGGACGGGACGAACGCUUCGCGGGGACAAACCGCGAAGUCUGACGGUACCGUAAGAAGAAGCACCGGCUAACUCCGUGCCAGCAGCCGCGGUAAUACGGAGGGUGCGAGCGUUGUUCGGAAUUACUGGGCGUAAAGCGCGUGUAGGCGGCCCUGUAAGUCAGAUGUGAAAGCCCUCGGCUUAACCGGGGAAGUGCAUCUGAAACUGCUUGGCUUGAGUACGGGAGAGGGAGGCGGAAUUCCCAGUGUAGAGGUGAAAUUCGUAGAUAUUGGGAGGAACACCGGUGGCGAAAGCGGCCUCCUGGACCGAUACUGACGCUGAGACGCGAAAGCGUGGGGAGCAAACAGGAUUAGAUACCCUGGUAGUCCACGCGGUAAACGAUGGGCACUAGGUGUGGGGGGUAUCCACUCCUCCCGUGCCGUAGCUAACGCAUUAAGUGCCCCGCCUGGGGAGUACGGCCGCAAGGUUAAAACUCAAAUGAAUUGACGA
rnacentral:rRNA from 1 species